CAAUGUGGAACUUGAUCCCAGGACCCCAGGAUCAGGACCUGAGCCGAAGGCAGACGCUCAACCACUGAGCCACCCAGUCAUCCUGAUGGUUGGUGUCUUUAUAAGAGGAAAAGAAAGGAAGGUUGGAUCCUGAGACCCAGAGGCCAUCUGACAGUGGUGUCAGAAAUUGGAAUGAUUCAGUCGCAAGAAAUGUUGGGAAAGCUUCUCAGGGUAAGACCUGUGCAGUGCAUGCGUACACACGUGCAGGAGUGCCUGCAGGAAGGUGAGCAGUGAUGUGCAAUGCGAUGAAGAAAGAUUCACCCUUUCCUGGCCUUGGCACCGUUUAAUUCUCAAGACAAUCCUGAGAGCUUGCAAAUUGUCAGUGAGAGAAUGAGGAGAAGUGCUGUCCCUCUCCCUGGGGCUGACUUCACUUUGCACCAGUGUUCUCAUGUCCCAAGGAGAGCUGGAGAAACGUCAUCUGAGUGUUUCGUGGGGGCAAUGCUGCCCUCCAUUCCCAUUGUGGGAAGAGGAACUCUGGCUCGGCCGAAUGUCUUCUUGAUGUCUCCUGAUGGGGCAGCCCCCAAAGCCUGCAGUUCUUCCUUCUGGGGGUCAUUAAGUUCUAGAGGGUACAAUGUGAUCUUUUUCAUUUUGCCUUCCUCACCCUCGCAACCCCUCCCUGCUCACUUUCAGAAUUUCAGAACAAAGCUCUUUGGGGAAUACAGUAAGUGUUGGGAAGGAUAACUGAUACUAUUGAUUUUUAAAAACAGAUUUAUUGGGGUGCCUGGGUGGCUCAGUCGGUUAAGUGCCUGCCUUCGGCUCAGGUCAUGAUCUUAGGGUCCUGGGAUUGAGCCCCGUGUCAG